rnacentral:rRNA from 1 species
GGUCAAGCUACAAAGGGCAAUCGGUGGAUGCCUAGGUGCCAAGAGGCGAGGAAAGACGUUGAAAGCUGCGAUAAGCUUCGGGGAGCUGCUAAACAAGCUUUGAUCCGGAGAUUUCUGAAUGGGGAAACCCAUCUCGGGUAAUGCCGAGAUAUCUUUAGGUGAAUAAAUAGCCUAAAGAAGCUAACGAGGAGAACUGAAACAUCUCAGUAACCUCAGGAAAAGAAAACAAGAGUGAUUUUCAAAGUAGCGGCGAGCGAAAUGGAAAUAGCCCAAACCUAAUAUAUGUCAAGCCCGAAAGCGUUGUAUAUUAGGGGUCGAGGGACUUAAUUGGAUGGAGUUUCGGAUCCAUCGGGAAGUUAAAAAACUGACUUAUAGCUGAAAAGUCUGGAAAGUCUUGCCAAAGAAGGUGACAGUCCUGUAAGUUAAAUAAGAUCAGACUUUCUGAGUUAAGUUCCCAAGUACUGCGGGGCACGAGGAAUCCCGUGGGAAUUUAGGAGGACCAUCUCCUAAGGUUAAAUACUACUUGGCAACCGAUAGUGAACAAGUACCGUGAGGGAAAGGUGAAAAGAACUCCGGGAGGAGAGUGAAAUAGUACCUGAAACCGUUUGCCUACAAGCCAGUGGGAGGGCUAUAAAUAUAGUCGAAGGCAACUUUGACAAUAUUUAGCCUGACUGCGUGCCUUUUGCAUAAUGAGUCAGCGAGUUACUCUACGUAGCGAGGUUAAGCCGUAAGGUGUAGCCGAAGCGAAAGCGAGUUUGAAUAGAGCGUACUAGUUGCGUGGAGUAGACCCGAAACCAAGUGAUCUAUCCAUGGCCAGGGUGAAGCGCAAGUAAAAUUGCGUGGAGGCCCGAACUAAUGUAGGUUGAAAACUGCUUGGAUGAGCUGUGGAUAGGGGUGAAAGGCCAAACAAACUUGGAAAUAGCUGGUUCUCCCCGAAAUAUAUUUAGGUAUAGCCUUGCGAAGUAAUUAACGGGGGUAGAGCACUGGAUGGGCUAGGGGUCUUACCAGAUUACCAAACCUAACCAAACUCCGAAUACCGUUAAUGUAAAAGCAGGAGUCAGACUACGGGAGCUAAGUUUCGUGGUCAAAAGGGAAAGAGCCCAGAUCGCCAGCUAAGGUCCCCAAAUUUACGCUAAGUGGGAAAGGAUGUGGAAAUGCUGAGACAACCAGGAUGUUGGCUUAGAAGCAGCCAUCAUUUAAAGAAAGCGUAACAGCUCACUGGUCGAGUGAGUCUGCGCCAAAAAUGUAACGGGGCUAAAGCGUAAUACCGAAGCUGCGAGAUUCUUAAAUAAGGAUCGGUAGGGGAGCAUUCUGUUAGGAGAGAAGGUCUAUCGAAAGGAGGGCUGGACCUGACAGAAGAGAUCAUGCUGACAUGAGUAGCGAUAAAGCAGGUGAAAAACCUGCUCGCCGUAAGUCUAAGGUUUCCUGAGUAAAGUUAAUCUGCUCAGGGUUAGUCGAUCCCUAAGCUGAGGCCGAAAGGCGUAAGCGAUGGAAAACAGGUUAAUAUUCCUGUACCACCGGAUUAUCAAUGUCCCGCAAGGGAUGAGAGAGAAGGGGGGACGCAGGAGGGUAGAUCAUCCGUCUGUUGGAAUAGGCGGUUCAAGCUAGUAGAUGGAAAGGACAGGUAAAUCCGUUCUUUCAGUAAUAAACAUCGAGAGGUGAUGAGGAGAGGCGCAAGCCUCACAAACUGAUUGAUCCCAUGCUGCCAAGAAAAGCCUCUAUCGAGAUGGUCAGGUGAUCGUACUAUAAACCGACACAGGUGGACGAGGAGAAAAUCCUCAGGCGCUUGAGAGAACUCUGGUUAAGGAACUCGGCAAAUUGACACCGUAACUUAGGGAGAAGGUGUGCCUCCGGUAUGUGAAGCAACAAGCGUGUGGAGCAGAUGGAGGUCGCAGAGAAGUGGCGGUAGCGACUGUUUACUAAAAACACAGGACUCUGCAAAGUCGUAAGACGAGGUAUAGGGUCUGACGCCUGCCCGGUGCUGGAAGGUUAAGGGGAGAUGUUAGGGCAACCAAAGCAUUGAACCGAAGCCCCAGUAAACGGCGGCCGUAACUAUAACGGUCCUAAGGUAGCGAAAUUCCUUGUCGGGUAAGUUCCGACCUGCACGAAUGGCGUAACGACUUCCGCACUGUCUCAACCAGAGACUCAGCGAAAUUGUAUUGGCGGUGAAGAUACCGUCUACCCGCUAAAAGACGGAAAGACCCCGGCACCUUUACUAUAGCUUGACAUUGGAUUUUGGAAUUGCAUGUGUAGGAUAGGUGGGAGGCUUUGAGACUGGGACGCUAGUUUCAGUGGAGCCAACCUUGAAAUACCACCCUUGUGGUUUUUGAAUUCUAACUUUGACCCGUAACCCGGGCAAAGGACAAUGUCUGGUGGGUAGUUUGACUGGGGCGGUCGCCUCCCAAAGAGUAACGGAGGCGCGCGAAGGUUCCCUCAGGCUGAUUGGAAACCAGCCGUUGAGUGUAAAGGCAUAAGGGAGCUUGACUGCGAGAGAGACAUUUCGAGCAGGUACGAAAGUAGGUCUUAGUGAUCCGGCGGUUCUGUAUGGAAGGGCCGUCGCUCAACGGAUAAAAGGUACGCCGGGGAUAACAGGCUUAUCGCCCCCAAGAGUUCACAUCGACGGGGCGGUUUGGCACCUCGAUGUCGGCUCAUCACAUCCUGGGGCUGAAGCAGGUCCCAAGGGUUCGGCUGUUCGCCGAUUAAAGUGGUACGUGAGCUGGGUUUAAAACGUCGUGAGACAGUUUGGUCCCUAUCUUUAGUGGGUGUAGGAUAUUUGAGAGGCUCUGUUCUUAGUACGAGAGGACCGGAACGGACGAACCAAUGGUGUUCCAGUUGUCGUGCCAACGGCAGCGCUGGGUAGCUAAGUUCGGAAUGGAUAACCGCUGAAAGCAUCUAAGCGGGAAACCACCCUCAAAACUAGAUAUCCCUCUGUGUCAAAAACACAGACUUAAGAUCCCUUGUAGACUACAAGGUUGAUAGGCUAGAUGUGUAAGUCCAGUAAUGGAUUGAGCUUACUAGUACUAAUAGAUCGUGCGGCUUGGCCAC